UACGUAGGGGUCUAGCGUUGUCCGGAAUUAUUGGGCGUAAAGAGCUCGUAGGCGGUUCGGCAAGUCGGAUGUGAAAUCUCCACGCUUAACGUGGAGGGGCCAUUCGAAACUGCCGUGACUCGAGUCCGGUAGGGGAGUUCGGAAUUCCCGGUGUAGCGGUGAAAUGCGCAGAUAUCGGAAGGACGCCGGUGGCGAAAGCGACCUGCUGGAUCUCUACUGACGCUGAGGCGCGAAAGCCAGGGGAGCGAACGGG
rnacentral:rRNA from 1 species